UUACACCUACGGGAGGCAGCAGUGGGGGAUAUUGGACAAUGGGGGAAACCCUGAUCCAGCGACGCCGCGUGAGUGAAGAAGUAUUUCGGUAUGUAAAGCUCUGUCAGCAGGGAAGAAAGAAAUGACGGUACCUGACCAAGAAGCCCCGGCUAACUAUGUGCCAGCAGCCGCGGUAAUACAUAGGGGGCAAGCGUUAUCCGGAAUUAUUGGGUGUAAAGGGUGCGUAGACGGAAGAACAAGUUGGUUGUGAAAUCCCUCGGCUCAACUGAGGAACUGCAACCAAAACUAUUCUCCUUGAGUGUCGG
rnacentral:rRNA from 1 species